UACAGAGGUCUCAAGCGUUUGUUCGGAUUCAUUGGGCGUAAAGGGUGCGUAGGCGGCGCGGUAAGUCGGGUGUGAAAUCUCGGAGCUUAACUCCGAAACUGCAUUCGAUACUGCCGUGCUUGAGGACUGGAGAGGAGACUGGAAUUUACGGUGUAGCGGUGAAAUGCGUAGAUAUCUGGAGGAAUACCGGUGGCGAAGGCGGCAUCCUGGACCGACAUUGACGCUGAGGAGCGAAAGCCAGGGGAGCAAACAGG
rnacentral:rRNA from 1 species